rnacentral:lncRNA from 1 species
ACAUUUCUAGAUAUCGAACGGUGAAAAAGAGUUCCCAUCUGUAUUCCUGCUUCUUUGCGAUAGGCAAUUUCUACCUCCAUCUCUUGCAUCUCCAGUUUCCUCUUGUAGUCUUCAUCUCUCAGCUUCUGCAUCUCGAUUUUACUCUGGGUCUCUAGCUCCUUAACUUGAUAUUCUAACUCCAGGAUUUUCUCUUAAUACUCUCCCAACAUUCGAUCCUCGAUCGGGAUUCCAUCAGAAACUCCCAUGGGCUCAUCCUCUACGGGUUCCUCCUCAGGAUCCGACUCCACCUCUAUCUCAUCCUCGUCGUCUAACUCGAAUGGUACCGAUGCCUGAACGGGUUCAGCUAACAUAGGUGCCUCAUACACCACGUGUAUAUUAUGUGGCUCCUCCUCGGUAAUCCCACUAGGUCCUCCUUAUUACGAC